AGAAUCAACGCUGGCGGCGUGCCUAACACAUGCAAGUCGAACGAGAAAGUGGAGCAAUCCACGAGUAAAGUGGCGCACGGGUGAGUAACACGUGACUAACCUACCCUUGAGUGGGGGAUAACCUAGGGAAACCUGGGCUAAUACCGCAUAAUACCUACGGGUCAAAGGAGCAAUUCGCUUAAGCGAGGGGGUCGCGGCCGAUUAGUUAGUUGGCGGGUAAUGGCCCACCAAGACGAUGAUCGGUAU
rnacentral:rRNA from 1 species